AGAGUUUGAUCAUGGCUCAGAUUGAACGCUGGCGGCAUGCCUUACACAUGCAAGCCGAACGGCAGCACGGGAGCUUGCUCCUGGUGGCGAGUGGCGAACGGGUGAGUAAUACAUCGGAACGUACCCUGAAGUGGGGGAUAACGUAGCGAAAGUUACGCUAAUACCGCAUAUUCUGUGAGCAGGAAAGAGGGGGAUCGCAAGACCUCUUGCUUUAGGAGCGGCCGAUGUCGGAUUAGCUAGUUGGUGAGGUAAAGGCUCACCAAGGCGACGAUCCGUAGCGGGUCUGAGAGGAUGAUCCGCCACACUGGGACUGAGACACGGCCCAGACUCCUACGGGAGGCAGCAGUGGGGAAUUUUGGACAAUGGGCGCAAGCCUGAUCCGGCCAUGCCGCGUGAGUGAAGAAGGCCUUCGGGUUGUAAAGCUCUUUCGGUGGGGAAGAAAUUGCUUCGGUUAAUACCUGGAGUAGAUGACGGUACCCGCAUAAGAAGCACCGGCUAACUACGUG
rnacentral:rRNA from 1 species